GAAGACACUGACUCAUUGCUCACAUGGAGCACUCCAAACAUAAGACUAUGAAAAAAAUGUCAUAACUCAUAAAUGGUUAUGAAAUAAACCAAAACUUGUUUUUCAAGUUGUGAAUUCUGCAAAAAACAUUUCCACCCCGAAACUGAGAACAGUAAUAGUUGAGUCUAAAGAGUCUACCGUGCCGGAAGCAACUUCAGCAUACAUUUUCAGGACCCAGAAAGCUGUUGAUGUUGGUUGUUUAGUCAGCAGCCAGCUUCCUUUCGACAUGUCUAUCCAGAGCACCAAACACCAGUGAGCCAAGCCCUGCUGCUGCCCAAAGACAUCUACUCACUGCUGAAGGAACUGAGGUAUUUGAGGAUGGAGUCCACCCCUUGCGAAGAGCCCCACACUCUCUUCAGCGCCUCGCACUCACGUUCAUUGGCCUGCUCCAGGGCGGCCCGGUUUGUGUUUCGCACCAGUGCUUUGGACUCCCGCAGGACCUACAGUGCAACAAACAGAGCCCCCCCCCCCCACCCGGCAAAAAAGAAAGCGAAAGGAAUAUGACUUAUGGAUAUGGAUAUUGGCAUAGAUUUGUUUAACAUUUAACUCUGGGACAUGACACAAGAUUCCAUAACAUCCAGAUAUUGGUGACAUGAUCUCAAUUUAAUGUAUUGCUAAAAGCAUUAUAUUAAUUUAAAAACACACUCUUGGUUAGGGCCAGGAUGAUACCAGUAUCGCAAUACUAAUUUGUAUCAUGGCAAGGAAACAAAACAAAGCAUAUUUAACUUCUUUAGGUAUCCCGGGAGACUAAAAUAUAACUAUUCAAGCGAACACUACGGCUAGGAGAGUGUGUGUGUGUGUGUGUGUGUGCAGUGCAUUUGGAAACUAUUCAGACACCUUGUUACUUUAGCCUUAUUCUAAAAUCGAUUAAAUAAUAAAAAUCCUCAAUCUACACACAAAAUACCCCAUAAUGACAAAAGCAAAAAUAAAUGUAAACAGAAAUACCUUAAUUACAUAAGUAUUCAAACCCUUUGCUAUUAGAAUCCAAAUUGAGCUCAGGUGCAUCCAACUUCCUUUGAUCAUCCCGACAACUUGGAGUCCAUCUGUGGCCAAUUCAUUUGAUUGGACAUGAUUUAGAAAGACACCUGUCUAUAUAAGGUCCCACAGUUGACAGUGCAUGUCAGAGCAAAAACCAAGUCAUGAGGUCGAAGGAAUUGUCCUUCGAGACAGGAUUGUUGUCGAGGCACAGAUCUGGGGAAGGACACCAAAAAAUGUCUGCAGCAUUGAAGGUCCCCAAGAACACAUUCUUAAAUGGAAGUUUGGAACCUAAAGGCUCGUUCUAGAGCUGGCCGCACGGCCAAACUGAGCAAUUGGGAGAGAAGGGCCUUAGUCAGGGAGGUGACCUGAUGGUCACCGACAGAGCUCCAGAGUUUCCUCUUUUGAGAUGGGAGAACCUUCCAGAAGGACAACCAUCUCUGCAGCACUCCACCAAUCAGGCCUUUAUGGUAGAGUGGCCAGAUAGAAGCCAAUUCUCAGUAAAAGGCACGACAGACCGCUUGGAGCUUACCAAAAGGCACCUAAGACUCAAGACCAUGAGAAACAAGAUUCUCUGGUCUGAUGAAACCAAGAUUGAAUGCCAAGCAUCUGGAGGAAACCUGGCGGUGGCAGCAUCAUGCUGUGGGGAUGUUCUUCAACGGCAGGGACUGGGAGACGAGUCAGGAUCAAGGGAAAGAUGAAUGGAGCAAAGUACAAAAAUCCUUGAUGAAAACCUGCUCAGGUCCUCAGACUGGGGCAAAGAUUCGCUUUACAACAGGACAAACACCCUAAGCACACAGUCAAGACAACGCAGGAGUGGCUUCGGGACAAACCUCUGAGUCCGAGCCCGGACUUGAACCCGAUCUAACAUCUUUUGAGAAACCUAAAAAUAGCUGUGCGGCGACGAUCCCCAUCCAGCUUGAGAGAAUCAUGAGAGAAACUCCCCCAAUACAGGUGGCCAAGCUUAUAGCGUCAUACCCAAGAAGGCUUGAGGCUGUAAUCGCUGCCAAAGGUGCUUCAACAAAGUACAGGGUCUGAAGUAGUAAAGGGUCUGAAUACUUAUGUAAAUGUGAUAAUUUAAAAACAAAAACAAAACUUUAUUUGCAAAAAAAACUGCUUUUCAUUAUAGGGUAUUGUUUGUAGGUUGCAGGGAAUUUAAAAAAAUAUCAAUUUUAGAAUAAAACUAACGUAACAAUGUGUGGUCUGAAUUCUUUCCGAAGGCACUGUAAAUGAGUGUCGGUGGGAAGAUGUUUUUUGAUGAGACAAAAAAAGCAAGAGAACAAAAGACCAAAGUGAGGGAGAGGGGCAGGGUCGUACUGUGUGGAAAAGAGAUGCCACAAAAUAUAAAAACAAUUCAAAAUAAAAUGAAAAGGAUGACUUACAACUGAAUUACAAGUGACUAGCUCCCUAAUGCGAACCAUCACCUCCUGAGUGAAAGUCCCAGGCCACAGCACCUGGGACACGAGGCCUUUAGCGCAGGCCUCCUGGGCUGUCAGCUUCCGCCCACUCAGCAACAUCUCAUUGGCCUGGGAGAAGAGGGGGAGGGAGAGAGAAGACAAGAGUAGGGGAGAGGACGGGGUGAGGUUAAGCAGGAAAAGGUACUGGUAUGGUAAUAGUAUUAAUAGUUGUAUUUUUUAAAUAAAAAAAAAACAUUUAAAAAGGAGUGGGGCUGUCCCACUCCAUUCUUAUUUUUUGUAUUGGACAGGAUAUUCCCCAUCGCAGGAAAACCAGCCCAGUGAGUGCUACACUUAAAUAGUUCCCUGGACUACUCCCCCUCGGAAGAGGUUUUUCAGACAAUGCCGUAUGAACUCACCGAGGCCACGCCCAUGAUGCGAGGGAAGGUGAGGGAGGCGCAAGCGUCGGGUGUCUGUCCGUAGGUGGUAUAGGGCGUCUGAAACCAGGAUUUCUCGUUGGCCCAGACAACGUCACACAGCGGGAGGAUAGAGGCUCCGAGGCCCACCGCCGGUCCAUUCACCGCUACGAUGAUGGGCUUCUUGAAUUGAAUGAAUGUGUUCACGAAUGUCCUGAGGAUGGAGAUGACAGACUGUCUGCAUAACCGUCUUCUGUGGCAUCAUUACAAAGACUAAACUAAAUCAAAACAAAGUGGCGCACACUCCAUAUACAGUGUAAGUCAGAAGUUUACAUACAGCUUAACCAAACACAUUUAAACUCAAGUUUCACAAUUCCUGACAUUUAAUCCUAGUAAAAAUUCCCUGUCUUAGGUCAGUUAGGCUCACCACUUUAUUUUAAGAACGUGAAAUGUCAGAAUAAUAGGAGAGAAUGGUUUAUUUCAGCUUUUAUUUCUUUCAUUCACAUUCUGGGUCAGAAGAUUACAUACACUCAAUUAAUAUUUUGGUAGCAUUGCCAUUCAAUUGUUUAACUUGGGUCAAACGUUUCGGGUAGCCUUCCACAAGCUUCCCACAAUAAAUUGGGUGAAUUUUGGCCCAUUCCUCCUGACAGAGCUGGUGUAAGUAACUGAGUCAGGUUUGUAGGCCUCCUUGCUUGCACACACCUUUUCAGUUCUGCCCACAAAUUUUCUAUAGGAUUGAGGUCAGGGUUUUGUGAUGGCCACUCAAAUACCUUGACUUUGUUAUCCUUAAGCCAUUUGCCACAACUUUGGAAGUAUGAUUGGGGUCAUUGUCCAUAUGGAAACACAUUUGCGACCAAGCUUUUAAUUCCUGACUGAGGUCUUGAGAUGUUGCUUCAAUAUAUUCACAUAAUUUCAUCUAUUUUGUAAGUGCACCAGUCCCUCCUGCAGCAAAGCACCCCCAUAACAUGAUGCUGCCACCCCCGUGCUUCACGGUUGGGAUGGUGUUCUUUGGCUUGCAAGCCCCCCCUUUACCUCCAUACAUGACGAUGGUCAUUAUGGCCAAACUGUUUUGUUUCAUCAGACCAGAGGACAUUUCUACAAAAAGUACGAUCAUUGUCCCCAUGUGCAGUUGCAAACCGUAGUCUGGCUUUUUUAUGGCGGUUUUGGACCCGUGGCUUCUUCCUUGCUGAUAGAUGUCGAUAUAGGACUCAUUUUACUGUGGAUAUAGAUACUUUUGUACCCGUUUCCUCCAGCAUCUUCACAAGGUCCUUUGCGGUUGUUCUUUUCGUACUAAAGUAGUUCAUCUCUAGGAGACAGAACGCGUCUCCUUCCUGAGCGGUACGACGGCUGUGUGGUCCUAUGGUGUUUAUACGUGCGUACUAUUGUUUGUACAGAUGAACGUGGUACCUUCAGGCAUUUGGAAAUUGCUCCCAAGGGUGAACCAGUCUUGUGGAGGUCUACAAUUUUUUUCCCCUGAGGUCUUGGAUAUCUUUUGAUUUCCCCAUGAUGUCAACCAAAGAGGCACUGAGCUUGAAGGUAGGCCUUGAAAUACAUCCAUAGAUACACCUCCAAUUGACUCAAAUUAUGUCAAUUAGCCUAUCAGAAGAUUCUAAAGCCAUAAUUCUCUGGAAUUCUCCAAGCUGUUUAAAGGCACAGUCAACUUCUGACCCACUGGAAUUGUGAUACAUUGAAUUAUAAGUGAAAUAAUCUGUCUGUAAACAAUUGUUGGAAAAAUGACUUGUGUCAUGCACGAAGUAGAUGUCCUAACUGGCUUGCCAAAACUAUAGUUUGUUUUCAAGUCAUUUGUGGAGUGGUUGAAAAACAAGUUUUAAUGAUUCCAACCUAAGUGUAUGUAAACUCCCAACUUCAACUGUAUAAACUCACAGUAAUUUCAUUCGGCAUCACAAUGCCUUAUGUUUUUCAUUACAAAGACUGCCCCUACAACACACAGCUAACGUUCUACUCAUCCUUUGUUCCACCUGUUCAAAAUAACCGAUGAUUCGAGACAAUUGUCUACAAAUCUGUCACUUGCACCGAUCUGAAAGAACUGAAAUCAAUCAUUCCACCAUUUUGUUUUCUCCAAUCAGUGCAGAUGAUGUAAGAGGGACAAGGACAGGACACAUUUUUGGACAAUCGAGAAAGGGCCAAGGUGAGCCUUCAAACGUCAGAAAGGGACAGAAAGUUUUGUUUUCAUCAUUUCUUUUUUUUCUUUCUGAAAACAAUCCACAUACAAAAGUACACCCUUCUGACCUACCUAAUGGUCUCAGCCAUCUUGAUGCUCUCCUUCUUGCGGUCGUCGGUGAGCAGUCUAAUGAAGUAGAUGAAGUCCAGGCCGAAGCAGAAGAUGCUACCCACGGCGCUCAGCAGGACCAGCUUGCUGUCGUCUGCCGCCGCCGUGGCCAUGGCACUCUGCAUCUCCUUCAUCACCUGAGGCAGCCAUGAGGGAGACAAUUAUUAUAGGCCAAUUACCUAGACACAGAUGAAGCCUAGUCUGAGAUUAAGAAGCACUUUAGAUGGAGUUAAUAUUGGAAAUGCGUUUUAGUACAGUACUAGGCUUAAUCCAGGACACCAACCCAAUAUUUUUUAUAGGACCAGUAUUUGACUUUCGUUUGAUAUUUUGCAUACAUUUAUAUUUGACUACCAAUUGUUUGGAAAAGUUGGCAUAACUAAACGAUGAAGUACUACUAUUUUUGGCCUGUCAUGCAGUGUAACAAUUGUUUUGUUAGGGCAAAGACAAGACAGGCAUGACUCACAUCGGGGUUAAGUGAGUUGUUCUCCGAGGACUUGGUGGAGAGCAGGAUGUGGGUGAAGCCAUCCUGCUUCUUGACGACAAGGUCCCUAUAGCGGUAGGCACUCUCAGUCUGCCGGACGCUGAACCGAAGGCGCUUGUCGAAGACUGAGCGCUGCUCCUCGAAGCGCCGUUUCCCUGCCACCCCGGAGACUGCAGUGACUCCUGCCACUGCACUCUGUAGGCUAGCUGUCCCAUUGGCCGCCAGAGCCUCCAUGAGUGUUGAUGUACCUAGUGGAUAAAAAAAAUGGUGACAAAAUAUAAUGGUGACACAGCCUUUAACAUUGUUUAAAUAACCAGGUAAACUAAAUCUUUGGUACUGCCUGAAUGGUUUACUUAGGUUCUACUCAACAGCAGAUGGAACAGUCCACCAACUGACUUAAUUGACAUAACUGUGUACUCAUUCGUUUGUGGAGAAGGGGGAGAAACAACAUUGUAAAGAACUCUGUUUGCAUGGCAAUGUCCACAAUCACUCACCUCUGCGAUUGUGGUCUACUUAGACCAGAGCGAGAAGUUGUAGGCUACAUAUUUUUUUAAAUCCUCAAACUACUAACAUCUUAAUUCACCGAGACAUAGGUUUAGUAUACAUCACAACAACAGUUAUUGAAGUCUAUUGAAAAAGCCUAGAGGACGAUUACAUGCCAGCGGGAGCAGAAAAUAUUUUUGGCAUCUCAGAUUGUUCUGGCAAUUCUCAGAAACUUCAUUGGGAGGAAGGAUGUUACAUGCUUUUUACAUUCGUAUCAAACAAUUUUUUCUAUGAAAUCAUGAAGAAAGUGGCCAUUUUAGGCCCUUUCCAGACCUACAGUGUCUUCAGAAAACUAUUCACACCCCCGGGACUUCUUCCACAUUUUCUUGCGUUAGAGCCGGAAUUUUAAAUGGAAUCAAUUGACAUGUUUUCACUGGCCUACACACAAUACUCCAUAAUAUCAAAGUGGAAAUGUUUAAUUAAUUUGUAAAAUUUCCUAAAAAAGGAAAUGCUGAAAUGUCUUCAGUCAAUAAGUAUUCAAACCCUUUAAUGGCAACAAUACCCCAUUGUUGCCAUGACUUGCAAAUGUAUAUAAAUAAAAUGGAUUAAAAUGUCCCCCCCCCCCCCCAAUCUGCAAACAAUACCCCAUAAUGAAAAAGCAAUGUUUUUUACAAUUAAAAAUAUUGCUAUUUUGUUUUAAAAGUAUCACAUUUACAUAGGUAUUCAGACCCUUUACUCAGUACUUUUGAAGCACAUUUGUCAGUGAUUACAGCCUAGUCUUCUUGGCUAGUUUAGUUUAUUAAUUCAACCAUAAAAAAAAAUAUAUAUAUAUAUAUCAAAUUUCAAUUAUGAUCUUGUCUCAUCGCUGCAACUCUCCAAUGGGCUCGGGAGAGCUGAAGGUCGAGUCAUGACCCACCAAACCGCAGUCCUUAACACCACCGCCACAAGCAGUUGCUAGAGAGCAAUGAGCCAAAUAAAGCCCCCCCAAAGUCUAUUUUCAGGUCUCUCCAAAGAUGUUCGACCGGGUUCUAGUUCGGGCUCUGGCUGGACCACUCAAGGACAUUACGAUACUUGUUCCAAAGCCACUCCUUUGUCUUGGCUGUGUACUUAGGGUUGUUGUCCUGUUGGAAAGUGAACCUUCGCCCCGGUCUGAGGCCCUGAGCGCUCUGGGGCAGGUUUUCAUCAAGGAUCUCCCUGUGCUUUGCUCCGUUCAUCUUUCUCUCGAUCCUGACUAGUCUCCCAGUCCCUGCCAUUGAAAAACAUCCCCACAGCAUGAUGCUGCCACCAACAUGCGUCACUGUAGGGAUGGUAUUGGCCUGGUUUCCUCCAGACGUGACACUUGGCAUUCAGGCCAAAGAGUUAAAUUUUGGUUUCAUCAGACCAGAGAAUGUUUCUCAUGGCCUGAGAGUCCUUUAGGUGCCGUUUGGCAACUCCAAGCAGGCUGUGCCUUUUACUGAGGAGCAGCUUCCAUCUGGCCACUCUACCAUAAAGGCCUGAUUGGUGGAGUGCUGCAUAGAUCUGUAGUUCCCAAACUUUUUAUAGUUCCGUACCCCUUCAAACAUUCAACCUCCAGCUGCGUACCCACUCUAGCUCCAGGGUCAGCGCACUCUCAUAUUGUUUGUUUGCCAUCAUUGUAAGCCUGCCACACACACUAUACGAUACAUUAAUUAAACAUAAGAAGUUUGUCAUUUCCCACGAGUCGGGCUGUGAAUAAGAGCUCUUAUUGGACCAGGGCACAAAUAAUAAUUUUGCUCUUUAUUUAGUUAAUCUUACAUAAAACCUUAUUUUCUCAUCAAAUUGUGAAUGAGAAGAGUGUGCUUGAAAGGAUGCACAUACCACUGCAAUGUUGGGUUGUAUUGGAGUCUCUGUCUUAAAUAAUUUUCCACACAGUCUGUGCCUGGAUUUCGUUUUCAUGCUAGUCAGUGCCAAGAACCCACUAUCAUAUAGGUACAUGGUUGCAAAGGGCAUCAGUGUUUUAACAGCGAGAUUUGCCAAAGCAGGAAACUCAGAGCGCAGCCCAAUCCAGAAAUCUGGCAGUAAAUUCGGAUAAAAUUUUCACAGAACCGCUUGUUGCAAUUUUGAUGAGGCUCUCUUGUUCAGAUAUCGGUAACAGACAGCAAGAGCCUCUCGGUGGAUACUGCCGUGUACCCAAGUGGCGUCGGGAGCAACUGCUUGCACGCGCAUUACCACUCCACUAUGUCUCCCUGUCAUGGCUUUUGCACCAUCAAUACAGACACCAACACAUCUUGACCACCAGUCCAUUUGAUGUCACAAAGCUGUCCAGUAUUUAAAAAAUAUCCUUUCCUGUUGUCCAGUGGUUUGCAGAAGAGGAUGUCUUCCUUAAUUGACCCCCCAUGAACGUAACGGACAUAUACCAGGAACUGUGCCAGGACCGCCAUGUCUGUUGACUCUUCCAGCUGUAACGCAUAGAAUUCACUGGCUUGUAUGCAAUGCCGUAAUUGUUUCAAAACACCUCCUGCCAUGUCACUGAUGCGUCGUGAAACAGUGUUUGAUGAAGUCAUUGUCUGUAUAGUUUUUUGGGGCCUUUUCCCCAGCCAUAUAUGCGGCAUCAGGAAGAAUGAAGUCCUACACAAUAGUAAGGGGAUUGCCUGCCACUCGGUAGCUCACAAUAUAAGGCGCUUCUAGCCCCUUCUUAUUAAGAGUAUCUGUUGCUUUUAUACAUGUCUUACUACUCGAAAGUAAUCUUAAUUCUCGCUCAAAAAACUCCAGUGGCAUGUUUUGUUUCUAAAUGCUUGUGCAAGAGUGAAGGUUUCAUCGAGUUGUGAGAUAGUGUGUUAUAUGUGCAAAAGUACUGUGGCUGAGGAAAGGCACUACUCCCAAUAUAAGUGAACCCCAAAUCAAUGUAGUUCAUCAUAUUUGCAACUCUUCGAUGUUCCAACAUCCCUGUCUGUUGUUCGGUGCUUUCCCGGGUAAGGGGGCAGUAAGCUCUUCGGCUGCAUCCAUUUCACAACUGUCAGUGUCCAUGCUAGCUGGGCUAACAACAAAUGUAGAGUUACUGAUGCUAGCAUUGGAUGUGCUCAUGGAAGCAGAACAACUUGUGUCAGACAGGUGCAGUGCUGCUGGUCGUAGCAGUACUACCAGUAGAGCUGGUAUGUGUUUCUAUGGACAUGGGCCUUACAUUUUUUUUAACCAUUAGUUCAUUUUCGAGCAAAAGGAAUGAGCAGCAGCAACGUUGGCUACAUAUGGACCGUUAGUGGAAUUCCCGCAAGAGUAACGGUUAAUGUGACUGGAUGUUAAUUAUUUGACAUUGUGUUGUUAUCUCGCUGAACACUACAUGAUUACAUUUUUUGGUAGUGAAAUGAGGCUAAUCAGGCGAGAGAAAAAACAACUUGCCCUAUAGCCCCGUUGGAAAAUCUGGACUGUUUGAAAAUGUGAAUCACAUUUGUAUUUAGCGUAUCCCCGACGGCAUCGGGUUCUUGGUCACCUCCCUGACCAAGGCCCUUCUCCCCCGAUUGCUCAGUUUGGCCAGGCAGCCAGCUCUAGAAAGAGUCUUGGUUGCUCCAAACUUCUUCCAUUUAAGAAUGAUGGAGGCAAAUGUGUUCUUGGGGACCUUCAAUGCUGCAGACAUUUUUUGGUUAUUUUCGCCAUAUCUGUGCCUCGACGCAAUCCUCUACGGACCAUUCCUUCGACCUCAUUGCCUGGUUUUUACUCUGACGUGCACGGUCAACUGUGGGACCUUAUAUAGACAGUUGUGUGCCUUUCCAAAUCAUGUCCAAUCAAUUGAAUUUACCACAAGUGGACACCAAUCAAGUUGUACUAACAUCAAGGAGUAUUAAUGGAAACAGGAUGCACCUGAGCUCAAUUUCAAGUCGAAUAGCAGAGGGGCUGAAUACUUGUAUGUGAAUAUGGUAUUUGUUUAAAAAUGUUUAUACAUUUGCAAACAUUUCUAAAAACCUGUUAACGCUUUAUUAUUAUGGGGUAUUGUGUGUAGAUUGAGGGGGAUUUAAAAAAAAAAAAAGAUUUUUUUUUUUAGAAUAGGCUUUUAAUGUCACAAUAUGUGGAAAAGGUGAAGGGGUCUGAAUACUUUCCAAAUGCACUGUAGUUACUCCACAAUACUAACAAAUGACAGAGUGAAAAGAAGGAAGCCUGUACAGAAUAAAACAUAUUCCAAAGACAUGCAUCCUGUUUGUAAUAAGAAACUAAAGUAAAACUGCCAAUCUUUUGGAAAAUAAAUGAACUAUGUCCAGAAUAAAAAGCAUUAUGUUUGAACCAAA